UUUAACUUCACGGAAAGGACCCGGGGCUCUGUGGCUUCCCAUCCGUCUUGUGACCCGGAAUCAUGGUGAUCUAAAAGAGCCCUGUGACUCUGGGAAAUUUGUUAUCAAAGGAUGUUAGCCACAAGUCCUGUUGGCAAAUGGACCCCAGGUGGCCUGCAGUGCCAAGCUGUUUCCCUGCCAGCCUCCCAGUCUGGCCCUGACUCUCCAAUGAGGCCUGCAAAUGUGUUUCCGGGAGGAAAAUCCGUCCCUGCUAUUUCUCCAGCCUUCCCUUGUUACCGGUCCGGCCCUGCCCCUUUAACAUUCAGGAAUGAGAGUGGAAGCAGAAGGCCCAGGUCCCCGGAGGUCCCGACGCCCGGAUUCCACAGCCUGUGAGGGUCCCUUGAGCAGAGCGGGACGAGGCCACUGGCACUACGUCGUGACUUCACCAACAGCCUGCAGUACUCGUUAACGAGAUUUCGCCAGGCCCCUUGGACUAACGCCAGGAUUCUCGGUGCCCGCAGUCAGCGCUCUGGGAUUAGACAACGCCCCACAGGCCGCGGCUCUCUGCUGACCCUCAGCAGCGAUGAGACCGGCGCGCACAAGCCAGCAGCCACUAGCUCUCCCACAAGGCCGAGCGCGGCCAAAGGGCAGCCCCGCCCGCUCCGCCUCCCCCAGCUCUAUUGGCUAGUGCACCUGCCACUCAGCCGCGCGCCGGACUCCGGCUUCGGGCCUGGAGGAGGGAUCCCAAGCCUCCUCGGCUCGGCUCGGCUCGGCUCGGCUCGGCUCGGCUCGGCUCGGCUCGGCUCGGCUCGGCUCGGCUCGGCUCGGCUCGGCUCGGCUCGGCUCGGCUCGGCUCGGCUCGGCUCGGCUCGGCUCGGCUCGGCUCGGCUCGGCUCGGCUCGGCUCGGCUCGGCUCGGCUCGGCUCGGCUCGCUUGUCCUUGAGGUUUACUGUGUUUGGCAUCGCAGUUCCGACGGCAGCCGCCGUUUCGCGACCCACGGCGGACUUGCAUAAACACUUUCUAGUUGGAAUCUCACCCUGUGAGGUGGGCAAGGUAGUGAUAUUCCUGUUUGACGCCGACAGAAAUAAGAGAGAUUGACUCUCAGAACCAUGUGGCGGGAUUUUAAAGGAGGAUCUUAACAGUGGCUCGGACAGACCCGUGUUUUCUGCUCCUAGCAUUAACUACGUCGUUAAACCCUUCUGAAUUUAUUUCGUCUGUGAAAUGGGGAAAAGAUAGCCACCUUGCAUAACUGGUGAAGAAUUCGUAAACUGACAGCAGAAUCUAGUAAGAGGACUGGCCCGUGGUCGGCUCUUAAUGGUGUGUAUGGGGCUAUGAACAUUCCCAGGUCUUCUGACCUCUAGUCUGGGACUCUUUCUGCUAAACUAGGGAUUCUUAGAGGUCCAGAGACUUCGGGAGAUCCAGGGGCAUCUUCAAGGGGGUCCCUGAGUUCUAAACUGCAGAGGAACACUCUUAAGAGAGAUAAUAAAUAUUUCCACCACAUCUGUUAUGGAUAAUAUAUAUUUUGUCAUCUAUUUGCCAGAGACUGUUGUAAGUGCUUGUAUACAUUAAGUCACUUAAUCUUUACAGUGAACACUAAGGUACAUCCUAUUAUAAUUCCCAUUUUACAGAGACGUUAAAUACCUAUCUAGCUAAAAAAUGUGGGAGCUGUUUUACAUUCACGCAAUCUAGCUGAUAAAGCCACACACCUUAAUGUUUGUACUAUAUAUUAUUGUGCAAGAGGUGUAUUUGAUAAUGAUUCUUGUGUCACCAUUUACAAGAUGCUUCUGGCUUUUAUUAAACUCUCAAAGGGCAGGAAAAGAAAAAAAAAUACAGAGGAACCUAAACCCUAAAUCAGAGACAGACUACAUGCAGAUAUACAAAUGGAUGAUAAGAAACCAAAGUUGUGGGUACCAUGUUUGCAAUUCCGUUUUAGCUGAGUGCUUUGGACUAUCACGUCCCUCAGUGGCUCCCUGGAGGAAGAAUGAUUGAAUGACAGGAUAGGAAUGGAAUGUAGCCAUCAUCUUAUCUGACCACACAGACACCUCCCAGCAGAUGAAUGCAUCACCUCCUCAUGAUAAUUUUGAAGACUUUCUGAGAAAGUGAUAAUAUUAGCCUAUUACCUCACAACCACAAGGAACACUACAGUGACUACAAACCCUAUGUGCCUCAUUCAACAGGUGUCACAGAAUAAAGAAAAAGACUGGGAGAGAGAUGGGAGCUGAUAGACCAGAGGAGACCAAAGACUGAAACUGAAGACUAAACCAUGGAAAUUGGGAACAAGCACUUACUCGCUUAGAGGGUGAAAAAAGUGAAUUUGCCUACAGGGCCAAUUUGGAAGCACCUCUCCCUGGAAGCCAGUCAAUGAAGAGCCAUUGGAGGAUUUUAAAUAAGGAACCGAAAAAUGGAGUCUGAAAAUAGAGGCGCAGAGACCGGUUCUUCCCCAAACCAUCAUGGACCAGUUGGACUCUGAGAAGAAAAGUUUCUGAUCUUUAGUUCAUUCUUCCAACUCUCUAGAAAGCAGGAAAACUGAGAAUGAAAAAUUCUAAAUUACUCAGGACUCAUGGGUUGCCAAUAGAAGAAAUACAUCUUAAACUAGCUUAAGCCUGAAAGGGAAAUGUAUUUGUUCAUGUAACUGAACCAUAACGAAGGAUGGUGGACUGAGGGACCUGAAAACACCCUCAGGACUCCCUCCCUCUCCUUUGUGCUCCUGUCUGAUGCCGUCUUCCCAGACCUGCUCACUCUCCAUAAGGUGGGGAUGUGGCCAUCAGCAACGUGUACUUCCCCGAAGCUUGUGACCUGAGUAGAUAGGCAUCUCCCAACCCACAAGGAUUGAAAAGUUCCUCUAGGAAUUAUGUGGAUUGGCCCAUUCACUAUGACAUGUUCCCCCUAAGCAGCUAAAGGAACUGGGUCUGUUACCAGAAGAGGUGGGAGAGGGGUGCUAGGCAGAUUGAACAACAGCCACUACAACAUCUGAGGAGGAGACCUCCGUGAAGGCCACCAAGUCUGCUAGCAGAUAUUUCCUCCCUCGGAUCUCUCUCCCUGUCCUCACAGUCUCAUAAGUGAGGAUUAAAUACUACAUGUGGCCUAGGAGAUCUUAGACCCUCCACACGAAGAUAUAGUAACAAUCAACAUCCUAGUGUUCUGGCAGAGAAAAAAUCAGAAAGAAUCGUUUGCCUGAUUUUUCCAUCAAUACCAAUAAUUAAUUAGAGAUGAAAUUUGUGAUGGACUCAGAGAAUUAGAGAAGAUCUAAGGGAAUCUAGAUGAUUUCCUACCCCUAACCAGAGCCUCACAAAAAAGGGUGAAGAUCUAUGGCCGUCUUGCGUUUGGUGUGAGGCUGGACAAGGAAGUUCCUAAGGUCCUUUAGACUCUGUGAGAUCAUGAGUCCGUAAAACCCUUCCAACUUGAAAUUAGUUGAUUCCUUCCUUAAAUUUUCUGGGACAUUCCCCCACUCCCUCCACUCUUAUUAGCUGAUUUUACUGACCAAUAGGCCUUGAAGUUGGGCGUUCCAUCUAGAUGUCUCACAUCAACUCACCUUUUGCAAAUUAAGCCCAUACCCUUAAAGAGGGGAAUUCUCAAGCCAUUAGAAACUAGAGAGUCAGCUGGGCAUGGUGGCUCACGCCUGUAAUCCCAGAACUUUGGGAGGCCAAGGUGGGUGGAUCACUUGAGGUCAGGAGUUCGAGUCCAGCCUGACCAACAUGGCGAAACCCCGUCUCUACUAAAAAUACAAAAAUUAGCCAGGGGUGAUGGCAUGCACCUGUAAUCCCAGCUACUCAGGAGGCUGAGGCAGGAGAAUUGCUUGAACCUGGGAGGCGGAGGUUGCAGUGAGCCAAGUUUGCACCACAGCACUCCAGCCUGGGCAACAGAGUGAGACUCAGUUUCAAAAAACAAAAGAACAAACAAACAAAAACUAGAGGGUCUCCUCUUAGUUCUUAAACCCUCUUAGUCAACAUUUGUGAGCCUCUUUUCUGUAUGUUUUGGCAUCUUUAUUCCUUUCCUUCGUGUCUUGACCAAAUUCACCAGAUCAUGACUCAGAACAAAAUCCUGAGGUUGAAUAUAGAGGUCUAGAACAUCUUCAAAUUAACUGUUUCUCCUCAUAGAGAAUUAAAGAAAUUGAGAAAGCAAGAG
rnacentral:lncRNA from 10 species